AUAAUGCACUUUUGCAUGAUAGAAGUCCUAAAGUGAAAUUGACCACGUACAAACCUAAUUGAGGGUAAAACAAACGCGUUGGCGAAGUCGGUUCGGCAAUCCGUUGAGCCUACGUGAAGAUAUCGCCAAAAAGGAUGUUUAUAUGGACUUAAUGUUGGCAGCCUUGAGGUUUUCGGAUUGAGAGGAAGCUGCAGAGCAGGAAGUCUGGGUUCUAGAGCUAAGAACCACUGGGAAUAAUACCUAAUUAAGAUUAGUGAGCUGAAAUCUAGUUGAUGCAAGCUCUUGGUGCUGCCGAAAUGCAAGGAUGGCCUAUUUGGUGCAGUGAGCAAGUCAAUUUAGCAUUAAAUUAAAACCUGUGAGCUGAUGGAUGCUCUUAGUGCUGCCGAAAUGAGGAGAGGAUCAUUGGAUGCAAGGAACAAGUUAAUUUAGCAUCCAGUUAAAAUUUGAAGCUGAAAUUGUAACCUUAGUGGGAUUUGGAGAAUUAGUAAAGCAAUACCCCAGUGGACUAAAGAAUAAACCUUAGACCAAGAUGCUUCAAGCUGAAACAAAAGCUUCAGCUGAGGGGAGCUUAUGUAUUGAUAUGGUCUUGAGCUGAAAUAACCUGAUAGAACCUCAGAUUUCAGCUCAAUGCUGAAUUUCAGCAUUGAACUCUAUUGGCUGUUAGAGUUGGAACUUGGAACCAUCUAAUCGAGCAAUAAUUCCAGCUGUGGGAGCUUUGAAACUGAUGAAAUGCAAGUUGAUGCUGAAAUUUCAGCAUUAGUGCUGAAAUUAGUAUUGAGCUGAACAAAAGACUUUCAAGCAGAAUUUCUCGCUGAUUAGAGCUGAAUGGAAUCAGGUCGACGACGCGCUAAUUACGGUAGAGGCAGUUCUAGUUCUAUUUACACUGAGACGCGCAAGAUUGUUCUUGACACAGUUCGAGACGUGGAUUCUAGUUGUUGACACCACUACAGGUUCCAGUGCGAGUAUUGUGGCCGAGGAUCGAGGCAAGAGCCAGCAGCCUAGCUAGUGG